UACGUAGGGUGCGAGCGUUGUCCGGAAUUACUGGGCGUAAAGAGCUCGUAGGUGGUUUGUCGCGUUGUUCGUGAAAUCUCACAGCUUAACUGUGAGCGUGCGGGCGAUACGGGCAGACUGGAGUACUGCAGGGGAGACUGGAAUUCCUGGUGUAGCGGUAGAAAUGCGCAGAUAUCAGGAGGAACACCGGUGGCGAAGGCGGGUCUCUGGGCCACUAUUGACGCUGAGGAGCGAAAGCGUGGGGAGCGAACAGG
rnacentral:rRNA from 1 species